AUAGUGAAAAACAAAUGACAAUAUUUUAUAAAAAUCUGCAGACACUAAUAAAAGCAUGUCGUAACUAGGGGUGUCAAAAUGGGUCAAAAUUCAUGGGUCAACUCAAUUUAACUCAACCCAUGAACCCUAAUGAGUUAAAUUUUUUGACUCAAAUGAGUUGAUGGGUCAAAUGAGUUAUUGGGUCAAUUGGUUUGAUGAGUCAAAUGAGUCAAAUUGAAUUAAACCAAGUAAAAUCUCUAAACCAAUGCCAAUUUAAGCUUAACCAAAACAUCUAAACCAAUUUAAUAAAAUCAAUAUUUUCCAAAUUUCUUAAAUAUACAAGCGAUGUAAUUGAAAAAAGUAAACUCGUAAUUUUUCCACCAAAAAACAUAAACCCGUGAUUUUCCCGCCAAAAACGUAAACCCAUGAUUUUCCCGCCAAAAGCGUAAACCUGUAAUUUUCCCGCCAAAAACUCGUAACGUUAUGAAUUUUUUUGGCGUGAAAAUUCCGGGUUUACGCUUUUGGCGGGAAAAUUCCGGGUUUUGGUUUUUGGCGGAAAAAUUACAGGUUUACGCUUUUGGCGGGAAAAUUACAGGUUUACGCUUUUGGCGGGAAAAUCAUGGGUUUACGUUUUUGGCGAGAAAAUCACGGGUUUAUAACUCAUUUGACCCAUCAACUCAUUUGAGUCAAAAAAUUUAACUCAUUAGGGUUCAUGGGUUGAGUUGAGUUGAGUUGAGCCAUGAAUUUUGACCCAUUUUGACACUCCUAGUUAUACCACAGAUUUGUUACACAACCAUUUGAAAUAUU
rnacentral:sRNA from 1 species